rnacentral:rRNA from 1 species
UACGGAGGGUGCGAGCGUUGUUCGGAUUCACUGGGCGUAAAGGGUGCGUAGGCGGUCGGGUAAGUCUGAUGUGAAAUCUCACAGCUUAACUGUGAAACUGCAUUGGAUACUAUCCGGCUAGAGGAAUGGAGGGGAGACUGGAAUACUUGGUGUAGCAGUGAAAUGCGUAGAUAUCAAGUGGAACACCAGUGGCGAAGGCGAGCCUCUGGACAUUUCCUGACGCUGAGGCACGAAAGCCAGGGGAGCAAACGGG